rnacentral:rRNA from 1 species
GUCGUCAGCUCGUGUCGUGAGAUGUUGGGUUAAGUCCCGUAACGAGCGCAACCCUUUUCCUUAGUUACCAGCACGUUAUGGUGGGCACUCUAAUGAGACUGCCGGUGACAAACCGGAGGAAGGUGGGGAUGACGUCAAGUCCUCAUGGCCCUUAUGGGUAGGGCUUCACACGUCAUACAAUGGUACAUACAGAGCGCCGCCAACCCGCGAGGGGGAGCUAAUCGCAGAAAGUGUAUCGUAGUCCGGAUUGUAGUCUGCAACUCGACUGCAUGAAGUUGGAAUCGCUAGUAAUCGCGGAUCAGCAUGUCGCGGUGAAUACGUUCCCGGGA